CACUCCUGCGGGAGGCAGCAGUGGGGAAUUUUGGACAAUGGGCGAAAGCCUGAUCCAGCAAUGCCGCGUGAGUGAAGAAGGCCUUCGGGUUGUAAAGCUCUUUUGUCAGGGAAGAAACGGUGAGAGCUAAUAUCUUUUGCUAAUGACGGUACCUGAAGAAUAAGCACCGGCUAACUACGUGCCAGCAGCCGCGGUAAUACGUAGGGUGCAAGCGUUAAUCGGAAUUACUGGGCGUAAAGCGUGCGCAGGCGGUUUUGUAAGUCUGAUGUGAAAUCCCCGGGCUCAACCUGGGAAUUGCAUUGGAGACUGCAAGGCUAGAAUCUGGCAGAGGGGGGUAGAAUUCCACGUGUAGCAGUGAAAUGCGUAGAUAUGUGGAGGAACACCGAUGGCGAAGGCAGCCCCCUGGGUCAAGAUUGACGCUCAUGCACGAAAGCGUGGGGAGCAAACAGGAUUAGAAACCCCAGUAGUCCCA
rnacentral:rRNA from 1 species